UACAGAGGUCCCAAGCGUUUGUUCGGAUUCACUGGGCGUAAAGGGUGCGUAGGCGGGCAGGUAAGUCAGUGGUGAAAUCUCCAAGCUUAACUUGGAACUGCCGUUGAUACUAUCUGUCUUGAAUACUGUGGAGGUGAGCGGAAUAUGUCAUGUAGCGGUGAAAUGCUUAGAUAUGACAUAGAACACCAAAUUGCGAAGGCAGCUCACUACACAGCCAUUGACGCUGAGGCACGAAAGCGUGGGGAUCAAACAGG
rnacentral:rRNA from 1 species